CCGACAAGCUUCUAGCCAUGCUCAUUUUCAAAUUGGAGGAGAAUGACUCGAGAGGAAACUAUGAACAUGAAGAACCAGAAACUAAAAGAAACUGCGUUAAAAUGGUGAUGCUAACCGUCACGAGACACUCACAUGUGAGUGAGAUGAGGGACUGGGAUCAUCAUGGUGGUUAGAGCUACACGUGGACACAAGUCUCCAUCUUCAAGUGGAACCAGAUCUGACUGGUUUACUGAGGACGACUCCUUUUGCAGGGUCCAAUGGGGCAGCACAAACUGAAACCAGAGACUUUCUGAAUCCGAGUCCUGUUAUGUGUUUUCGAGCCGCUGGGGGUGUGACAGUGAUGAGUUGCACCAUUAGGCGGGUUGCUGAUUGCAGUGGCACAGCCGACCCGUCCUGACAACCUGUGGAGACACCCACUGUGCACAGGGGCCAUCUGAGUCACACCCCCCCCCCCCCACCGGACAGAGAAAAAUGUGCCACUGUUAAAUGGUUUCCUGUCAUUUCUCUACUCAUCAUUCUGGUUUCUGUGUUCUACUCUUUUCUUUCCCAGCCUCACAGGACGGUUCACUGAUGUGUUCCAGCCUCUGAACACGGUGAACAGAAUGUCUCCUGCCCCGGUGCAUGUUUUAUCUUCAUGAUGGAUGGAAUAAAGUCUGCCGACUCAUCCUGAGAGCUGAGACGAGGUGUUGAACCAGAGCAGCUUGUCAGAGCGAUGGUGAUCAUCAUGUGUCGCAGCAGCUCGUCUCCUCAGCACGAGCACAGAUACACAACCACUGAGAUUCUCCAGGAGACAUCUUGAAGCCCUACAGCUGUGUUGUCGUCUCUGUCCUGGUGAGGCGCACCAGGGGGAGUCCAGCUCGAUAUCUGUCUGCAAAUAAAAUGUAGUUUUACUGUCAUAACCACAACGUUCAAGGUUCAGACGCAAACUCUCUCAUACACUGGUAUCUACUGUGAGAGACUUGAACCAAACUGCUCCUCUAGUGUCCAGCUGUUAGGGAAUCUAUUGACUCGAGCAUAUUUGCAAUGGGUUGAAUUUUGUUAGGUGUUCUCACAUCAUCAAUGGUCCCAGUUCAUCAGAUAUAUCUGCAUCGUCCCAUUGGGUUUGUCAACCAGUUCAGAGAGAAAAAGACGAGACCAGUUAAUGUGUUUUUUAUAUAGGUUAUUAUAAAGGCAAACAACUUAUUUAGAAACGUGUAACUGUAUUUGCCACAAUUAUGAUCUUGUUAAACAUUGUGUGUUAAUCAGACUUGAUUGUAAAGAUUCAGUUUAAUGAGUUCAAUGCUUUGUCACUCAAUAAAAUCAAGAUUCAAGAUAA